UACGUAGGGGGCAAGCGUUGUCCGGAAUUAUUGGGCGUAAAGCGCGUGUAGGCGGCUCGAUAAGUCCGCUCUGAAAGUCCGGGGCUCAACCCCGGGAGGCGGGUGGAUACUGUCGGGCUAGAGUCCGGAAGAGGCGAGUGGAAUUUCUGGUGUAGCGGUGAAAUGCGCAGAUAUCAGAAGGAACACCAAUGGCGAAGGCAGCUCGCUGGGACGGUACUGACGCUGAGACGCGAAAGCGUGGGGAGCGAACAGG
rnacentral:rRNA from 1 species